GAUGAUGAGGGUGCGGCUACUGAGGUUUGUUUCUGACAUGUUAAAUGCUAACUGUAACUAAUUGAUGUUGAUAUAGUCAUCUGGCCUUUUCCUUUUGUCUCACAGUUAGAAAUCUGUUUUACAUUUGUUUAAUAGUUUCUAGUUGCUUGGACUCUUUAUCAUUUAUGUUAGUUGUAUGUCUCAUCUGUUGCUUCCUUGAUGAUAUUUCAUGUGUCACUGAUGUUUGAUAUGAUGCCAGAAUGGUUGAGUUGUGUGUUGUAUUUCACACUUAAUGUUGUUUUCCUGUCUUGUAGCUCUCAUUCCAAAUGUGGACCA
rnacentral:misc_RNA from 1 species